GCGCUUUGAGGGAACUCAGAAGACAAUUUGAACUU
rnacentral:sRNA from 1 species